rnacentral:rRNA from 1 species
UACGGAGGGUGCGAGCGUUGUCCGGAAUCAUUGGGCGUAAAGCGCGUGUAGGCGGCUAGGUAAGCCUGCUCUGAAAGCCCGGGGCUCAACCCCGGGAGGCGGGUGGAUACUGUCUAGCUCGAGUCCGGAAGAGGAGUGUGGAAUUCCUGGUGUAGCGGUGAAAUGCGCAGAUAUCAGGAGGAACACCAAUGGCGAAGGCAGCUCACUGGGACGGUAUUGACGCUGAGACGCGAAAGCGUGGGGAGCAAACAGG